rnacentral:rRNA from 1 species
CCUACGGGAGGCAGCAGUGGGGAAUAUUGGACAAUGGGCGCAAGCCUGAUCCAGCCAUGCCGCGUGAGUGAUGACGGCCCUAGGGUUGUAAAGCUCUUUCGCAGGUGAAGAUAAUGACGGUAACCUGAGAAGAAGCCCCGGCUAACUUCGUGCCAGCAGCCGCGGUAAUACGAAGGGGGCUAGCGUUGUUCGGAAUUACUGGGCGUAAAGCGCACGUAGGCGGACUAUUAAGUCAGGGGUGAAAUCCCGGGGCUCAACCCCGGAACUGCCUUUGAUACUGGUAGUCUGGAGUCCGGAAGAGGUGAGUGGAAUUCCGAGUGUAGAGGUGAAAUUCGUAGAUAUUCGGAGGAACACCAGUGGCGAAGGCGGCUCACUGGUCCGGUACUGACGCUGAGGUGCGAAAGCGUGGGGAGCAAACAGGAUUAGAUACCCUAGUAGUC